UACGUAGGGUGCAAGCGUUGUCCGGAAUUAUUGGGCGUAAAGAGCUCGUAGGCGGUUUGUCGCGUCUGCUGUGAAAACUGGAGGCUCAACCUCCAGCCUGCAGUGGGUACGGGCAAACUAGAGUGCGGUAGGGGAGAUUGGAAUUCCUGGUGUAGCGGUGGAAUGCGCAGAUAUCAGGAGGAACACCGAUGGCGAAGGCAGAUCUCUGGGCCUUACCUGACGCUGAGGAGCGAAAGCGUGGGGAGCGAACAGG
rnacentral:rRNA from 1 species